UACGUAGGGUGCGAGCGUUAAUCGGAAUUACUGGGCGUAAAGCAUGCGCAGGCGGCUUUGCAAGACAGAUGUGAAAUCCCCGGGCUCAACCUGGGAACUGCAUUUGUGACUGCAAGGCUAGAGUACGGCAGAGGGGGAUGGAAUUCCGCGUGUAGUAGUGAAAUGCGUAGAUAUGCGGAGGAACACCAAUGGCGAAGGCAAUCCCCUGGGCCUGUACUGACGCUCAUGCACGAAAGCGUGGGGAGCAAACAGG
rnacentral:rRNA from 1 species